UCUACAGGCUUAACACAUGCAAGUCGAGGGGCAUCAGGAAGAAAGCUUGCUUUCUUUGCUGGCGACCGGCGCACGGGUGAGUAACACGUAUCCAACCUGCCCUUUACUCGGGGAUAGCCUUUCGAAAGAAAGAUUAAUACCCGAUAGCAUAAUGAUUCCGCAUGGUUUCAUUAUUAAAGGAUUCCGGUAAAGGAUGGGGAUGCGUUCCAUUAGGUUGUUGGUGAGGUAACGGCUCACCAAGCCUUCGAUGGAUAGGGGUUCUGAGAGGAAGGUCCCCCACAUUGGAACUGAGACACGGUCCAAACUCCUACGGGAGGCAGCAGUGAGGAAUAUUGGUCAAUGGGCGCUAGCCUGAACCAGCCAAGUAGCGUGAAGGAUGAAGGCUCUAUGGGUCGUAAACUUCUUUUAUAUAAGAAUAAAGUGCAGUAUGUAUACUGUUUUGUAUGUAUUAUAUGAAUAAGGAUCGGCUAACUCCGUGCCAGCAGCCGCGGUAAUACGGAGGAUCCGAGCGUUAUCCGGAUUUAUUGGGUUUAAAGGGAGCGUAGGUGGACUGGUAAGUCAGUUGUGAAAGUUUGCGGCUCAACCGUAAAAUUGCAGUUGAUACUGUCAGUCUUGAGUACAGUAGAGGUGGGCGGAAUUCGUGGUGUAGCGGUGAAAUGCUUAGAUAUCACGAAGAACUCCGAUUGCGAAGGCAGCUCACUGGACUGCAACUGACACUGAUGCUCGAAAGUGUGGGUAUCAAACAGGAUUAGAUACCCUGGUAGUCCACACAGUAAACGAUGAAUACUCGCUGUUUGCGAUAUACAGUAAGCGGCCAAGCGAAAGCAUUAAGUAUUCCACCUGGGGAGUACGCCGGCAACGGUGAAACUCAAAGGAAUUGACGGGGGCCCGCACAAGCGGAGGAACAUGUGGUUUAAUUCGAUGAUACGCGAGGAACCUUACCCGGGCUUAAAUUGCAGUGGAAUGAUGUGGAAACAUGUCAGUGAGCAAUCACCGCUGUGAAGGUGCUGCAUGGUUGUCGUCAGCUCGUGCCGUGAGGUGUCGGCUUAAGUGCCAUAACGAGCGCAACCCUUAUCUUUAGUUACUAACAGGUUAUGCUGAGGACUCUGGAGAGACUGCCGUCGUAAGAUGUGAGGAAGGUGGGGAUGACGUCAAAUCAGCACGGCCCUUACGUCCGGGGCUACACACGUGUUACAAUGGGGGGUACAGAAGGCAGCUAGCGGGUGACCGUAUGCUAAUCCCAAAAUCCUCUCUCAGUUCGGAUCGAAGUCUGCAACCCGACUUCGUGAAGCUGGAUUCGCUAGUAAUCGCGCAUCAGCCACGGCGCGGUGAAUACGUUCCCGGGCCUUGUACACACCGCCCGUCAAGCCAUGGGAGCCGGGGGUACCUGAAGUACGUAACCGCAAGGAUCGUCCUAGGGUAAAACUGGUGACUGGGG
rnacentral:rRNA from 1 species